rnacentral:rRNA from 1 species
AACGAACGCUGGCGGCAUGCCUAACACAUGCAAGUCGAACGAGACCUUCGGGUCUAGUGGCGCACGGGUGCGUAACGCGUGGGAACCUGCCCUUAGGUUCGGAAUAACUCCCCGAAAGGGGUGCUAAUACCGGAUAAUGUCUUCGGCCCAAAGAUUUAUCGCCUUUGGAUGGGCCCGCGUUGGAUUAGCUAGUUGGUAGGGUAAAAGCCUACCAAGGCGACGAUCCAUAGCUGGUCUGAGAGGAUGAUCAGCCACACUGGGGCUGAGACACGGCCCAGACUCCUACGGGAGGCAGCAGUGGGGAAUAUUGGACAAUGGGCGAAAGCCUGAUCCAGCAAUGCCGCGUGAGUGAUGAAGGCCUUAGGGUUGUAAAGCUCUUUUACCCGGGAUGAUAAUGACAGUACCGGGAGAAUAAGCUCCGGCUAACUCCGUG